rnacentral:pre_miRNA from 1 species
UGUAAACAUCCUACACUCUCAGCUGUAGAAAGUAAAAAAGCUGGGAGAAGGCUGUUUACUCU